GCCACGCCUAGCCCACGGCUGAUCCCCACGGGCGAAAAGCGGGAGUCCUUCACCCGCCUGGCGCUGGCACCCUUUGAAGGC
rnacentral:sRNA from 1 species